CGCAGUUCAAGGGCUGUUCCUCUGUACCAGGUCUGCUGCAAGAAGCAUCUCACGAGCCUUCAGGACCCAGGUAGAAGUCAGCAAGGAAGAGCAUCCUACCCAACACCAGCACACUGUUCUUCAGUGGGGAACUGCUCCUGUCAGAACAGUCACCAACAUCCACUACUUUGUUUAGAUGCUCUGCUUUGGAAAUGAGAGCCAGCACCACAGCAUGUGGGCAGAUGAUUCUGGGCAUCUUUCUCAUGAUUCUGCAGAAGUUCAGUAGUUUCUUUGGUCAUCAUCCCACUGAAACAAGGCACAACAGUGAACGCUGAGCCAUCUUCCAGAUAACAAGGCCCUGUCUGUACUCAAAUUG